rnacentral:rRNA from 2 species
GUGCUGUGAGCUCGAUGAGUAGGGCGGGACACGUGGUAUCCUGUCUGAAUAUGGGGGGACCAUCCUCCAAGGCUAAAUACUCCUGACUGACCGAUAGUGAACCAGUACCGUGAGGGAAAGGCGAAAAGAACCCCGGCGAGGGGAGUGAAACAGAACCUGAAACCGUGUACGUACAAGCAGUGGGAGCCCCACCACCAAAGCGUUUCGCUUUGCGUGGUGCGCAAAAUGCGUAACGACAGCACGAUUGCGGUUAACGGAGCGUAAGCGACGUUCAACACAAGAAUCAGGCAGUGGAGCGUUUUGGGGUGGGGUGACUGCGUACCUUUUGUAUAAUGGGUCAGCGACUUAUAUUCUGUAGCAAGGUUAACCGAAUAGGGGAGCCGGAGGGAAACCGAGUCUUAAU